rnacentral:rRNA from 1 species
CUACGGGCCGCAGCAGUUAGGAAUAUUCUACAAUGCGCGAAAGCGUGAUAGAUUGAGUCAGAGUGCGUUUCAAAUUGGAAUGCUUUUGCCAAAUGUAAAAAGUUUGGCGAAUAAGGACUGGGUAAGACGAGUGCCAGCCGCCGCGGUAAUACUCGCGGUCCAAGUCGCAGCCAUUUUUAUUGGGUCUAAAACAUCCGUAGCUUGCUUCUUAAGUUCCUUGUGAAAUUUUAUAUCUUAAAUAUAGAGCGUGCAGGGAGUACUGGGAAGCUAGAGACUGGGAGACGUAAGAAGUACAUUCAAAGUAGCGGUUAAAUGUGUUAAUCUUGGAUGGACUCACAAUAGCGAAGGCAUCUUACGAGAACAGUUCUGACAGUAAGGGAUGAAGGCUAGGGGCGCAAAACGGAUUAGAUACCCCCGUAGUC